GAUGAACGCUGGCGGCGUGCCUAAUACAUGCAAGUCGAGCGAACAGACGAGGAGCUUGCUCCUCUGACGUUAGCGGCGGACGGGAGAGUAACAUGGGGAUAACCUACCUAUAAGACAGGGAUAACUACGGGAAACCGGAGCUAAUACCGGAUAAUAUAUUGAACCGCAUGGUUCAAUAGUGAAAGUCGGUUUUGCUGUCACUUAUAGACGGAUCCGGGCCGCAUUAGUUAGUUGGUGAGGUAACGGCUUACCAAGGCAACGAUGCGUAGCCGACCUGAGAGGGUCAUCCCCCACCCUGGAACAGAGACACGGUCCAGACUCCUGCACGAGGCAGCAGUCGGGACUCUUCCGCGAUGGGCGAGAGCCUGACGUAGCAACACCGCGUGAAUGAUGAAGGUCUUCGGCUCGUAAAACUCUGUUGUUAGGGAAGAACAAAUGUGUAAGUACCUGUGCACGUAUUGACGGUACCUGAACAAAAAGCCACGGCUAACUACGUG
rnacentral:rRNA from 1 species